ACGCUGGCGGCGUGCUUAACACAUGCAAGUCGAACGGAAAGGCCCUGCUUUUGUGGGGUGCUCGAGUGGCGAACGGGUGAGUAACACGUGAGUAACCUGCCCUUGACUUUGGGAUAACUUCAGGAAACUGGGGCUAAUACCGGAUAGGAGCUCCUGCUGCAUGGUGGGGGUUGGAAAGUUUCGGCGGUUGGGGAUGGACUCGCGGCUUAUCAGCUUGUUGGUGGGGUAGUGGCUUACCAAGGCUUUGACGGGUAGCCGGCCUGAGAGGGUGACCGGCCACAUUGGGACUGAGAUACGGCCCAGACUCCUACGGGAGGCAGCAGUGGGGAAUAUUGCACAAUGGGCGGAAGCCUGAUGCAGCAACGCCGCGUGCGGGAUGACGGCCUUCGGGUUGUAAACCGCUUUCGCCUGUGACGAAGCGUGAGUGACGGUAAUGGGUAAAGAAGCACCGGCUAACUACGUGCCAGCAGCCGCGGUGAUACGUAGGGUGCGAGCGUUGUCCGGAUUUAUUGGGCGUAAAGGGCUCGUAGGUGGUUGAUCGCGUCGGAAGUGUAAUCUUGGGGCUUAACCCUGAGCGUGCUUUCGAUACGGGUUGACUUGAGGAAGGUAGGGGAGAAUGGAAUUCCUGGUGGAGCGGUGGAAUGCGCAGAUAUCAGGAGGAACACCAGUGGCGAAGGCGGUUCUCUGGGCCUUUCCUGACGCUGAGGAGCGAAAGCGUGGGGAGCGAACAGGCUUAGAUACCCUGGUAGUCCACGCUGUAAACGGUGGGUACUAGGUGUGGGGUCCAUUCCACGGGUUCCGUGCCGUAGCUAACGCUUUAAGUACCCCGCCUGGGGAGUACGGCCGCAAGGCUAAAACUCAAAGGAAUUGACGGGGCCCCGCACAAGCGGCGGAGCAUGCGGAUUAAUUCGAUGCAACGCGUAGAACCUUACCUGGGUUUGACAUGGAUCGGGAGCGCUCAGAGAUGGGUGUGCCUCUUUUGGGGUCGGUUCACAGGUGGUGCAUGGCUGUCGUCAGCUCGUGUCGUGAGAUGUUGGGUUAAGUCCCGCAACGAGCGCAACCCUUGUUCACUGUUGCCAGCACGUUAUGGUGGGGACUCAGUGGAGACCGCCGGGGUCAACUCGGAGGAAGGUGGGGAUGACGUCAAGUCAUCAUGCCCCUUAUGUCCAGGGCUUCACGCAUGCUACAAUGGCUGGUACAGAGAGUGGCGAGCCUGUGAGGGUGAGCGAAUCUCGGAAAGCCGGUCUCAGUUCGGAUUGGGGUCUGCAACUCGACCUCAUGAAGUCGGAGUCGCUAGUAAUCGCAGAUCAGCAACGCUGCGGUGAAUACGUUCCCGGGGCUUGUACACACCGCCCGUCAAGUCAUGAAAGUUGGUAACACCCGAAGCCGGUGGCCUAACCGUUGUGGGGGAGCCGUCGAAGGUGGGACUGGUGAUUAGGACU
rnacentral:rRNA from 1 species